UACGUAGGGUGCGAGCGUAAUCGGAAUUACUGGGCGUAAAGCGUGCGCAGGCGGUAAGUUAAGUCUGAUGUGAAAGCCCCGGGCUCAACCUGGGAAUGGCAUUGGAAACUGGCUUGCUGGAGUGUGGCAGAGGGGGGUGGAAUUCCGCGUGUAGCAGUGAAAUGCGUAGAGAUGCGGAGGAACACCGAUGGCGAAGGCAGCCCCCUGGGCCAACACUGACACUGAGAGACGAAAGCUAGGGGGAGCGAAUGGG
rnacentral:rRNA from 1 species